GAGGAUAUAGCUCAGUGGUAGAGCACAUGCCUAGCAUGCAUGAGGUCCUGGGUUCAAUCCCUAGUACCUCU
rnacentral:tRNA from 1 species